CCUCUGGUCGAUGGAACAAU
rnacentral:snRNA from 1 species